AACGAACGCUGGCGGCAGGCUUAACACAUGCAAGUCGAGCGCCCUCUUCGGGGGGAGCGGCGGACGGGUGAGUAACGCGUGGGAACGUACCCUUUUCUCCGGAAUAGCCUCGGGAAACUGAGAUUAAUGCCGGAUACGCCCUUUGGGGGAAAGAUUUAUCGGAGAAGGAUCGGCCCGCGUUGGAUUAGGUAGUUGGUGGGGUAAUGGCCUACCAAGCCGACGAUCCAUAGCUGGUUUGAGAGGAUGAUCAGCCACACUGGGACUGAGACACGGCCCAGACUCCUACGGGAGGCAGCAGUGGGGAAUCUUGGACAAUGGGGGCAACCCUGAUCCAGCCAUGCCGCGUGAACGACGAAGGCCUUAGGGUUGUAAAGUUCUUUCAGCGAGGAAGAU
rnacentral:rRNA from 1 species